rnacentral:rRNA from 1 species
AUGAACGCUGGCGGCGUGCCUAAUCCCUGCAAGUCGAGCGAACAGACGAGGAGCUUGCUCCUCUGACGUUAGCGGCGGACGGGUGAGUAACUCGUGGAUAACCUACCUAUAAGACUGGGAUAACUUCGGGAAACCGGAGCUAAUACCGGAUAAUAUAUUGAACCGCAUGGUUCAAUAGUGAAAGACGGUUUUGCUUUCACUUAUAGAUGGAUCCGCGCCGCAUUAGCUAGUUGGUAAGGUAACGGCUUACCAAGGCAACGAUGCGUAGCCGACCUGAGAGGGUGAUCGGCCACACUGGAACUGAGACACGGUCCAGACUCCUACGGGAGGCAGCAGUAGGGAAUCUUCCGCAAUGGGCGAAAGCUUGACGGAGCAACGCCGCGUGAGUGAUGAAGGUCUUCGGAUCGUAAAACUCUGUUAUUAGGGAAGAACAAAUGUGUAAGUAACUAUGCACGUCUUGACGGUACCUAAUCAGAAAGCCACGGCUAACUACGUG